UACAGAGGGGGCAAGCGUUAUUCGGAAUUAUUGGGCGUAAAGGGCGCGUAGGCGGCCUGGCAAGUGGAUGGUGAAAUCCCUCGGCUUAACCGAGGAACUGCCAUCCAGACUGCUUGGCUUGAGACCGGGAGAGGUGAGUGGAAUUCCCAGUGUAGCGGUGAAAUGCGUAGAUAUUGGGAGGAACACCAGUGGCGAAGGCGGCUCACUGGACCGGUUCUGACGCUGAGGCGCGAAAGCGUGGGGAGCAAACGGG
rnacentral:rRNA from 1 species